rnacentral:tRNA from 1 species
GGGUAUAGUUCAACGGUAGAACAUUGGACUUCAAAUCCAAGUGUUGUGGGUUCGAAUCCUGCUACCC